rnacentral:lncRNA from 1 species
UUAAGCGUCCCCUUCGUCGUCCUCCUGCGGAACCGGCUCGGGAACAAUGUCUUCCUGAUCUGAAAUGAUUAAAUAAGGAAUGAGCUACACUAGCCCAGUAAGGACAUCACGAUAUCCAUCGUCACGGAGGUAAAGGUGGGUAGAAAACACAAAAAGACUAAUGGAGCAUAAUUUACAAUAAAACCUUUUAUCAAUAAUAAAACCUUUACCAUUCACUUACCUGGUGAAAUUCAUAAGACAAUAUACGAAAACUAUAACAUCAUUAUCAUCAUGAAAUCAUGUAUAAACUGUAUAACGUAAUACUUAUCAAGCCUUUCGAAAUUCAAUUGUUACACAAUAUAUUUUCCUCAUUUACCAGCCCACUAGUAUCCAUGGGGAUCCAUAGGGUCCUGCUACCCGUUAACCCUUAACACUUGAAAUCAUAUUCCAGGGUCGUCCUCAUACCCCGUCCGGUAUGGGCGCCAAAACCAUAAACCUCAUUACCCCGUCCGGUAUGAGGGUGAAACGGGCCGUCCCCAUACCCCGUCCGGUAUGGGCACCAAAAUACAUAAGAUCUCCAUACCCCGUCCGGUAUGGGAGACCACAAUCCCAGUAGGGUUCCCUACGGACCCGGUCCGUCCACCAUCUCCCAGGAUAUCUAGUCAGGCUGACCACAUUAUACAAUUACCCAUUUACAUAAUCUUUCAUUCUCUUUUUCCCUCAGUCAGCAUUAUCAAUACACAUACAAACAAGCAAGACGAUAAUUUAUGGCAAACAGAUAACAUACAGUAUCAAUAUCCCAAUCAUUCAAUCCAUAGUCAGUAAAAUAGUAAAAUAUGAACACGAAACUUUAAAAUGAAAAUAUCAAACCUCAUGCUGCAUUUAAAACUGUAACACAGGCUAAAUAACAGUUAAUCGACAAACACACUAGACUCGGGCUCCAUUAGCGACCUUAAGCAAUUUCACACAUUCGUUGAUUCAUGAAAUACCGUUUUAUCAUUUAUUGAACUUUAAGACCGUGAUAGGAAAUAGGGUGAGGGGUCCUUACACGUUUCGGGGUCCGAACACGACUUCACAGUGCGCCUACAGGCUGUCCCCAAUUUUCUCUGAAUUUUUC